ACUAUGUGUUGCAGUGAAAAGAUAAAACUGGAGUUUGAGACACAUCUUCGGAGGGCGAUGAAACGUUUCAAUAAAGAGGUCCACGAGGACACACACAAGGUUCACCUUCUCUGCCUGCUAGCAAAUGGUUUGUAUCGAAAUAACAUCUGCAGCCAGCCAGAUCUGCAUGCUAUUGGCCUCUCCAUCGUCCCAGCCCGCUUUACCAGAGUGCUGCCUCGAGAUGUGGACACCUACUACCUCUCAAACCUGGUGAAGUGGUUCAUUGGAACAUUUACAGUUAAUGCAGAGCUUUCAGCCAGUGAACAAGAUAACCUGCAGAGUACAUUGGAAAGGAGAUUUGCUAUUUACUCUGCUCGAGAUGAUGAGGAAUUGGUCCAUAUAUUCUUACUGAUUCUCCGGGCUCUGCAGCUCUUGACCCGGCUGGUAUUGUCUCUACACCCAAUUCCUCUGAAGUCAGCAACAGCAAAGGGAAAGAAACCUUCCAAGGAGAGAUUGACUGCGGAUCCGGGAGCCUCCUCAGAAACUUCCAGCCAAGUUCUAGAAAACCACACCAA
rnacentral:sRNA from 1 species